rnacentral:lncRNA from 1 species
UUUCCUCUCCUAAAGGAAGGGAAAAGCUCCUCUGACUCAAGACACAUUCUCUUUAAGAAAAUUUCACUGGCCAUUUUGCAGGCACCUGGACAUAAACUAGUGUAAGAUGAGACUUUUGUCCUAUAAAGGCUUAAAACCUAACUGGGAAACAAGAUUGUCAAAAAGUACAAAUCACACGAAGCAAACAAUUUCCAAAUUGCUUGUACUGGAAACAAAAGUUAAGAGAUUCCAGCUAGUUCCACAUAACCAACAAUUUGUAAGUUAAAAUGUGAUUGCAUUCUCUAGACUUUUGACAUAACAUCACCUUUGUUUUAUUUUUAAAGUGUUGAACAUUUGGUAAAAAAAAAUAUGUAUGUAUUG